GCUUUGGUAGAGGUCAUGGGUGUUUGGUAAGGCUUUGGUAGAGGCUGUGGGUGUUUGGUAAGGCUUUGGUAGAGGUUGUGGGUGUUUGGUAAGGCUUUGGUAGAGGUUGUGGGUGUUUGGUAAGGCUUUGGUAGAGGUUGUGGGUGUUUGGUAAGGCUUUGGUAGAGGUUGUGGGUGUUUGGUAAGGCUUUGGUAGAGGUUGUGGGUGUUUGGUAAGGCUUUGGUAGAGGUUGUGGGUGUUUGGUAAGGCUUUGGUAGAGGUUGUGGGUGUUUGGUAAGGCUUUGGUAGAGGUUGUGGGUGUUUGGUAAGGCUUUGGUAGAGGUUGUGGGUGUUUGGUAAGGCUUUGGUAGAGGUUGUGGGUGUUUGGUAAGGCUUUGGUAGAGGUUGUGGGUGUUUGGUAAGGCUUUGGUAGAGGUUGUUGUGGGUGUUUUUUAAGGCUUUGGUAGAUAUUGUGGGUGUUUGGUAAGGCGCGGGGUGGCAGCUAUGUUGACUCGGCGAUUGAGAAAUUAUACUCAUUUAAUUAAGGGGCACAUCGCAGCUGCUCCGUGUCACAAGUGUUGAAGGGGCCGGUCUGCCUCGCACUCGUGGACCAAAACAUCAUUCAAACCGCACCAUGUACACUUGCUUAACGCGAUACCAGCGUUACCAAAUGGUUGUAAUUAACAUACCCUCGUAGCUAUUACCGGCUCAAGAGACAUUUAUCCUUAUUUAUACACGUAUCGGCGCUUCAGCUCGCCUGUUUGAGAAGCGUAUAGAAAGCAUAACAUAGAAGUGGUAGGGAUUUCCAUAGAGUGCUUCGUGAUGGUGUAGUCGGUUUUAUACUCCAUCCGUCUACUCGGGAACGUAGAUAUGGCACCUGCGCAUUGUUAGUUCGUGAUUGCGUGAAGAUACAGAUUUUCUUUCAGUGAUGUAUUUGACUGUUUAUGCAUAUAUUUCCAUAGACGGCUUCGUGAUGGUAUAGUCGGUUUUACUCCAUCCGUCUACUCGGGAACGUAUAUAGAUGUGGCACCUGCGCAUCGUUAGUUCGUGAUUGCGUGAAGAUACAGAUUUUCUUUCAGUGAUGUAUUUGAAUGUUUAUGCAUAUAUUUCCAUAGACUGCUUCGUAAUGGUAUAGUCGGUUUUACUCCAUCUGUCUACUCGGAAACGUAUAUAGAUGUGGCACCUGCGCAUUGUUAGUUCGUGAUUGCGUCAAGAUACAGAUU